rnacentral:rRNA from 1 species
UACGGAGGGUGCAAGCGUUUAUCCGGAUUCACUGGGUUUAAAGGGUGCGUAGGCGGGUUGGUAAGUCCGUGGUGAAAUCCCCAAGCUUAACUUGGGGAACUGCCGUGGAUACUAUCAAUCUUGAAUAUCGUGGAGGUAAGCGGAAUAUGUCAUGUAGCGGUGAAAUGCUUAGAUAUGACAUAGAACACCAAUUGCGUAGGCAGCUUACUACACGAUCAUUGACGCUGAGGCACGAAAGCGUGGGGAGCAAACAGG